GACGAACGCUGGCGGCGUGCUUAACACAUGCAAGUCGAACGGAAAGGCCCUGCUUUUGUGGGGUGCUCGAGUGGCGAACGGGUGAGUAACACGUGAGUAACCUGCCCUUGACUUUGGGAUAACUUCAGGAAACUGGGGCUAAUACCGGAUAGGAGCUCCUGCUGCAUGGUGGGGGUUGGAAAGUUUCGGCGGUUGGGGAUGGACUCGCGGCUUAUCAGCUUGUUGGUGGGGUAGUGGCUUACCAAGGCUUUGACGGGUAGCCGGCCUGAGAGGGUGACCGGCCACAUUGGGACUGAGAUACGGCCCAGACUCCUACGGGAGGCAGCAGUGGGGAAUAUUGCACAAUGGGCGGAAGCCUGAUGCAGCAACGCCGCGUGCGGGAUGACGGCCUUCGGGUUGUAAACCGCUUUCGCCUGUGACGAAGCGUGAGUGACGGUAAUGGGUAAAGAAGCACCGGCUAACUACGUGCCAGCAGCCGCGGUGAUACGUAGGGUGCGAGCGUUGUCCGGAUUUAUUGGGCGUAAAGGGCUCGUAGGUGGUUGAUCGCGUCGGAAGUGUAAUCUUGGGGCUUAACCCUGAGCGUGCUUUCGAUACGGGUUGACUUGAGGAAGGUAGGGGAGAAUGGAAUUCCUGGUGGAGCGGUGGAAUGCGCAGAUAUCAGGAGGAACACCAGUGGCGAAGGCGGUUCUCUGGGCCUUUCCUGACGCUGAGGAGCGAAAGCGUGGGGAGCGAACAGGCUUAGAUACCCUGGUAGUCCACGCUGUAAACGGUGGGUACUAGGUGUGGGGUCCAUUCCACGGGUUCCGUGCCGUAGCUAACGCUUUAAGUACCCCGCCUGGGGAGUACGGCCGCAAGGCUAAAACUCAAAGGAAUUGACGGGGCCCCGCACAAGCGGCGGAGCAUGCGGAUUAAUUCGAUGCAACGCGUAGAACCUUACCUGGGUUUGACAUGGAUCGGGAGUGCCCAGAGAUGGGUGUGCCUCUUUUGGGGUCGGUUCACAGGUGGUGCAUGGCUGUCGUCAGCUCGUGUCGUGAGAUGUUGGGUUAAGUCCCGCAACGAGCGCAACCCUUGUUCACUGUUGCCAGCACGUUAUGGUGGGGACUCAGUGGAGACCGCCGGGGUCAACUCGGAGGAAGGUGGGGAUGACGUCAAGUCAUCAUGCCCCUUAUGUCCAGGGCUUCACGCAUGCUACAAUGGCUGGUACAGAGAGUGGCGAGCCUGUGAGGGUGAGCGAAUCUCGGAAAGCCGGUCUCAGUUCGGAUUGGGGUCUGCAACUCGACCUCAUGAAGUCGGAGUCGCUAGUAAUCGCAGAUCGGCAACGCUGCGGUGAAUACGUUCCCGGGGCU
rnacentral:rRNA from 1 species